AGGGGGCUAGCGUUGUUCGGAUUUACUGGGCGUAAAGCGCACGUAGGCGGAUAUUUAAGUCAGGGGUGAAAUCCCGGGGCUCAACCCCGGAACUGCCUUUGAUACUGGGUAUCUUUGAGUCCGGAAGAGGUGAGUGGAAUUCCGAGUGUAGAGGUGAAAUUCGUAGAUAUUCGGAGGAACACCAGUGGCGAAGGCGGCUCACUGGUCCGGUACUGACGCUGAGGUGCGAAAGCGUGGGGAGCAAACAGG
rnacentral:rRNA from 1 species